GAUGAACGCUAGCUACAGGCUUAACACAUGCAAGUCGAGGGGAAACGAUAGAGAAAGCUUGCUUUUUCUAGGCGUCGACCGGCGCACGGGUGAGUAACGCGUAUCCAACCUGCCCAUCACUUGGGGAUAACCUUGCGAAAGUAAGACUAAUACCCAAUGACGUCUCUAGAAGACAUCUGAAAGGGAUUAAAGAUUUAUCGGUGAUGGAUGGGGAUGCGUGUGAUUAGCUUGUUGGCGGGGGAACGGCCCACCAAGGCGACGAUCAGUAGGGUUUCUGAGAGGAAGGUCCCCCACAUUGGAACUGAGACACGGUCCAAACUCCUACGGGAGGCAGCAGUGAGGAAUAUUGGUCAAUGGACGAGAGUCUGAACCAGCCAAGUAGCGUGCAGGAUGACGGCCCUAUGGGUUGUAAACUGCUUUUAUAAGGGAAUAAAGUGAGAGUCGUGACUCUUUUUGCAUGUACCUUAUGAAUAAGGACCGGCUAAUUCCGUGCCAGCAGCCGCCGUAA
rnacentral:rRNA from 1 species